CUGGAUGUGGCGUAAUUGGUAACGUACAUGACUUGGGAUCAUGGGUAGAAAGUUCAAAUCUUUCCAUUCAGACCA
rnacentral:tRNA from 1 species